rnacentral:ribozyme from 1 species
UGAAGUGAUCGACCUCGUUGAGCAGGAGAUCAACGAGUCACAAAGCAACCCGUCAAAUGUCAUUAUACCAUUGAAUCCGC